rnacentral:lncRNA from 1 species
GAAUUGUGCAACACUUCUAUAUGUUGGUGCUUAAUGUACAGGAAACAAAAUCCCAUUGCUUGGCAACGAAGAAUUUGCAACGCUUCAAGUUUUGGUUCAUAUAUAGCGUAAACAAUAUUAUUUUUAAUACAUAUUCCCAGCAAUUAAAUUAAUGCUUCACAUAAUGCUGAUAAUUAUUUAUUUCAAGUGAAGAAAAACGAGAGAAAAUACUCAUGGGAGACAGAAAUCAUAUAUUAGAUAAAACUGUUUGAUUACAAUGGUAGACAUUACAUGAGGAAAAUCAUCCAAAUGGGAUGUAUAAUAUAAAUGUUCUCUUGAUGGUGAAACUUAAAUUGAAACCAUGCAUCAACAUCCCUACAGAUUAACUAAAACAUAAUUGAGGAACAUCGUCCAACAGGAACAUCAUCCCUACAACUUUACUAAAACUGAAAGCAUCCGUCUCCAUCAUCAUGAACACGAACAUCAUCGUCAUCAUAGUAGUAUGCUUGCCCACACACCCAUAUAAUCAUCCAUUUAUCUUUUGAAUCUACAAACAAAAAAAACAAAAUUAACUGUUAACACACAAAGCAUGAUGCAAUUCGUGAUAGAGGCAGGAUAUUAGUCACUUACAAAGGUUGCCAUGCAAAAAAAUUCUGCAUUACCAAGAGUAUUACAGUUUUUGCAACUCCAUACCAAAUAUUUAGUUUUCACAAGUGCCAUAUCGACAUGCACUAUCUACAAUUCAUUAGUAAUUUCAGCACCAUCAAGCUCAGAUUCAGGAUCACAACUUACAAUUGUAGCAAUACCGGUCUCCGUUAUGAUUUUUCAGGCUCAUUAAAAAUACUUUUGGUCCUGCCUGUUAGAGAAAAUCAAAGUUACCAUUGGCAGAAAAAUGUCGAGCAAAAUAAUUAAAAGAAAAGUGACAUAUAACAGAAAAAGUUCAGAGGCCAAGACCUAUCGUGUUUGCAUCUUUUCCUUUACUAUAUGGUCUCUUGUGUUGUCCCAUGAGAUGCCAUCUUUGAAGUCUUUCAAGGGAUAAGAGAUUAUAAGCCAGCUAACACUGAGUUAUAUUGUGCCAUGUACCUGCCUGCUAUUUAAAGGACAUACCAAUAUAAAUGGGGCGGGAAAUAAUGGAAGCGUGUAAAGAAUUUAAAAUGCUCAAACCAUGCCACAUUGUAAAAACAUACGUCUAGUCAAUGCACAUAGAAGAAAAUGGAAGGAAGCAAGGGAAAAAGCCUUUCAGCAUACAACGGCUAUAACCCAACAUCACACACGUCAUAUGGUUAUGAAUACAUUCUUCUACGGGUUAAUCUCAUGAUGUGUAACAUCUAUGAAAUUCUAUGAAGCCUUUCACUACCAACAAAGUAGUUUUGGUGAUGAACGCUUAAAAUAAUUAAACUUCAUAUGAUAGCUUCAGUGUAGAACACAAAGAUAAACAUUUUUAUUCAAGUAGUAGUAUGGUACGAUCAACUGCAUAAUUCUGAGGCACCUACUGGGAGAUACUGAAGCAGUAUGUUUGAGCUUUAAUCAGGUAACAAAAUAUUACUAUAUCAAUACCUUGGACAUAUUAAGCCAAAAGAUAAAUUAAAUUUACUAAAUUAGUACAAAUAAAACAUAUUAGACAAUAUAAAUAAGCUUUGAAGUAUAAGAUCCAUCAUAAAUGAGGUACUCCCAGUACCGGCCCAGUGAUUUUGCAUGAAGUGCAGCGAGGACAGCAGGGAGGAUCGACCAUUAGUUCAUCUUUACCACCAACUCCUAAUAAAAUAGCUAGUAUAUAUCCAGAUCAAACUCUAAAUAGCACAUCUGAGCAGAUCAAUCAGUAGUGACACUACUAAGAAAAGGAGAAGACACGGCAGAGAAAACAAGACUGUAGCAUGCUCGAACAAAUAAUUAGGACGCCCUGUUUGUAGACUACAAAUACAAAUUUACUUCUCUUUUCCCCAUGGUGUGUAUUCUUCUUUGUAAAGGAAAAGCACGUCAAGGGAAUAAAGGAGUGAUAUUACGAAUGUAGGUAAGCAUAGUACAAAGAGGAAGCAUGGACCACACAAGAAGUGUCUAGAAUUUGGCAAACCAGUAGAGAGAACCGUGUAGGUAUAUGUUGUUAAUAAUAUGAGAAAGGGGACAUCAAUCAAAUUCCAAAAGCCAAGUGAAUAAAUGGAAAACAUCCAUGGUUUUUUAUUCCUGGAACACAAUCUAGUUCAGCUAUCUUUACAAAAUACAGAAGUCAGAUAAGUUGUAAUAGGUGUAGAAUUUUAUCUAACAUGUCACUUGACUAAAUAAGUACUACUCGUCUCAGCGUAGUUUUAUAAGACCUGCUUCUCUAAUCUCUUCUACUGUAUUUAGGGGUUACACAGUAAACAUUUUCUGUUCAUAAAUCAUAAGUAAAUCGCAAGAUCUGCUUGCUUCAAAAAAAAUUGAUAUGACAUGAAGCUCACAUAAACAUCUUUUAAAAUGGCAAGCAUAGCUCAUGGUAGAUGUACUCAAUAAUAUUUUCAGAGUUUUCUAACAAGCAACAGUGAUUGAUCACCAGAUUACCUUCCUUACGCUCUUGAACUCCAACUGUAGUG